GACGAACGCUGGCGGCGUGCUUAACACAUGCAAGUCGAACGGAAAGGCCCUGCUUUUGUGGGGUGCUCGAGUGGCGAACGGGUGAGUAACACGUGAGUAACCUGCCCUUGACUUUGGGAUAACUUCAGGAAACUGGGGCUAAUACCGGAUAGGAGCUCCUGCUGCAUGGUGGGGGUUGGAAAGUUUCGGCGGUUGGGGAUGGACUCGCGGCUUAUCAGCUUGUUGGUGGGGUAGUGGCUUACCAAGGCUUUGACGGGUAGCCGGCCUGAGAGGGUGACCGGCCACAUGGGGACGGAGAUACGGCCCAGACUCCUACGGGAGGCAGCAGUGGGGAAUAUUGCACAAUGGGCGGAAGCCUGAUGCAGCAACGCCGCGUGCGGGAUGACGGCCUUCGGGUUGUAAACCGCUUUCGCCUGUGACGAAGCGUGAGUGACGGUAAUGGGUAAAGAAGCGCCGGCGAACUACGU
rnacentral:rRNA from 1 species